CCUACGGGAGGCAGCAGUCGAGAAUCAUUCACAAUGGGGGAAACCCUGAUGGUGCGACGCCGCGUGGGGGAAUGAAGGUCUUCGGAUUGUAAACCCCUGUCAUGUGGGAGCAAAUUAAAAAGAUAGUACCACAAGAGGAAGAGACGGCUAACUCUGUGCCAGCAGCCGCGGUAAUACAGAGGUCUCAAGCGUUGUUCGGAAUCACUGGGCGUAACGCGUGCGUAGGCUGUUUCGUAAGUCGUGUGUGAAAGGCGCGGGCUCAACCCGCGGACGGCACAUGAUACUGCGAGACUAGAGUAAUGGAGGGGGAACCGGAAUUCUCGGUGUAGCAGUGAAAUGCGUAGAUAUCGAGAGGAACACUCGUGGCGAAGGCGGGUUCCUGGACAGUAACUGACGCUGAGGCACGAAGGCCAGGGGAGCGAAAGGGAUUAGAUACCCGAGUAGUC
rnacentral:rRNA from 1 species